AGAGAAUAAAAGCAGGCUGCCCGAGCCAGCAGUGGCAACCUGAUGGGGUCCCUUUUCAAGCUGUGGAACCUUUGUUCUUUCUCUGUUUGCAAUAAAUCUUGCCACUGCUCACUCUUUGGGUCCACACUGCUUUUAUGAGCUGUAACACUCACCGCGAAGGUCCGCAGCUUCACUCCUGAAGCCAGCGAGACCACGAGCCUACUGGGAGGAACGAACAACUCCCGACGCGCCGCCUUAAGAGCUGUAACACUCACCGCGAAGGUCUGCAGCUUCACUCCUGAGCCAGCGAGACCACGAACCCACCAGAAGGAAAAAACUCCGAACACAUCUGAACAUCAGAAGCAACAAACUCCGGACACGCCGCCUUUAAGAACUGUAACACUCACUGCGAGGGUCCGCGGCUUCAUUCUUGAAGUGAGUGAGACCAAGAACCCACCAGUUCUGGACACAAUUUCAAGUCCUCAGGUGCCAUCAAUAUUCUGAAAAUGGCAGUGAUUUUUAUUCAACCUGUAUAAGGCACUUUCACCAUGUACCUGGAAGCAACAUCUACAUCUUUUUCAGCAAUCUAGAUGCUGGGGACACAAGGUCCACCUUCCAGGAAUAUGGCCAUGACACCAGAAAUCACAAACAUGAUGAGAAUGGAAUGACUGGGGAAGAAGUGCCAGAUGCUUCACUUGUAAAUGAAGACCCAGCCUCUGGGGAUGCAGAUACCACCUCCCUGAAGAAGCUGAAUAUCUGCAGAUAAGUGGAGUUCACCAAUGAUGAGGAGCGGGAUGGAGAAAGGAGCCAAGUGGUUUAAUUUCUGGAGAUGGUGAACCCAAGAGGCUCUGCUGGGAGACAACAAAAAUAAUGAAG
rnacentral:lncRNA from 10 species